rnacentral:rRNA from 1 species
CGGCCGCGGUAUCCUGACCGUGCAAAGGUAGCAUAAUCACUUGUUCCUUAAUUAGGGACUAGCAUGAAUGGCCAAACGAGGAUUCAACUGUCUCUUAUUUUCAANUCAGUGAAAUUGACCUUUCAGUGAAGAGGCUGAAAUACUAAAAUAAGACGAGAAGACCCUAUGGAGCUUAAAUUAAAAGUUUAAUUUUACUUCCACCAGCCUAAUGGUACAACACAAAAAUUUUAAACUCUAAAUUUCGGUUGGGGUGACCUCGGAGAACAAAAAAUCCUCCGAAUGAUUUUAACAUAGACCAACAAGUCAAAGUAACCUAAAAAUCUAAUUGACCCAAAAAUNUUUGAUCAACGGACCAAGUUACCCUAGGGAUAACAGCGCAAUCCUAUUUUAGAGUCCAUAUCGACAAUAGGGUUUACGACCUCGAUGUUGGAUCAGGACAUCCCAAUGGCGCA